UACGUAGGGGGCAAGCGUUGUCCGGAAUCAUUGGGCGUAAAGAGCGUGUAGGCGGCCCGAUAAGUCCGCUGUGAAAGUCCAGGGCUCAACCCUGGGAUGCCGGUGGAUACUGUCGGGCUCGAGUCCGGAAGAGGAGUGUGGAAUUCCCGGUGUAGUGGUGAAAUGCGUAGAGAUCGGGAGGAACACCAGUGGCGAAGGCGGCUCGCUGGGCCGGUCCUGACACUGAGGCGCGAAGGCGUGGGGAGCGAACGGG
rnacentral:rRNA from 1 species